UACGAAGGGGGCUAGCGUUGUUCGGAAUCACUGGGCGUAAAGCGCACGUAGGCGGAUUGUUAAGUCGGGGGUGAAAUCCUGAGGCUCAACCUCAGAACUGCCUUCGAUACUGGCAAUCUCGAGUCCGGAAGAGGUUGGUGGAACAGCUAGUGUAGAGGUGAAAUUCGUAGAUAUUGGCUAGAACACCAGUGGCGAAGGCGGCCAACUGGUCCGGUACUGACGCUGAGGUGCGAAAGCGUGGGGAGCAAACAGGG
rnacentral:rRNA from 1 species